rnacentral:rRNA from 1 species
CACGUAGGGCGCAAGCGUUGUCCGGAAUUAUUGGGCGUAAAGAGCUCGUAGGCGGCCUGUCGCGUCUGCUGUGAAAUCCCGGGGCUUAACCCCGGGCGUGCAGUGGAUACGGGCUGGCUGGAGGCAGGCAGGGGAGAACGGAAUUCCCGGUGUAGCGGUGAAAUGCGCAGAUAUCGGGAGGAACACCGGUGGCGAAGGCGGUUCUCUGGGCCUGUACUGACGCUGAGGAGCGAAAGCGUGGGGAGCGAACAGG